UGCGAGUGAAGCGGCAAAAGCUCAAAUUUGAAAUCGGUGCGUGUGAAGCACAUCGAGUUGUAAUUUGGAGGGACAACUUCGGAUUGGACCACACCGUAAGUUUCUUGGAACAGGGCAUCAUAGAGGGUGAGAAUCCCGUCCUGGUGUAGGGUCAAACCAUGUGAAGUGUCUCCGACGAGUCGAGUUGUUUGGGAAUGCAGCUCAAAAUGGGUGGUAAAUUUCAUCUAAAGCUAAAUAUUGGCGAGAGACCGAUAGCGCACAAGUAGAGUGAUCGAAAGAUGAAAAGCACUUUGAAAAGAGAGUUAAAAAGUACGUGAAAUUGUUGAAAGGGAAGCGCUUACGACCAGACUCGAUCUUUGGUGAUCGGCCGGACCUCGGUUCGGUGCCCUCGCCAUUGAUUGGGCCAGCAUCGGUUCUAACGGUGGGAUAAAAGGAGGAGGAAUGUAGCUCCCCUCGGGGAGUGUUAUAGCCACCUUCACAAUGCCACCAGUUGGGACCGAGGACCGC
rnacentral:rRNA from 1 species